GAAGAAGAAGAUGGAACGGGAUGCUGAGAUUGAAGUUUAUCCCGUGGAUGUUGGAAGCUGCGAACGGGAGGACGGUUAGCACUCUGUUCUGAAGCAGGGGAAUCCGGAAGAAGAUUUGAUGGCUGGGAGCUUAUCCGUGGAGGGGGAAGCGGUUGUUUUGAUUCGUGAUGAAGAGGAGAUGAUUUAGGAGUAGGGGAUGUGAAGGAAUCGGCUGAUUAGUUGCCAUUUGUUGGGAGUUUUGCUCUUCACGGCUGAAAUAGGGGAUUCGAUUUGAAGAGAAGAGUACAAACGGGAUGAGGGCUGGUUGCUUGAUCUGCGGACGUGGAAGAAGUUUGGAUGAAUCUGGGACUUAAUUCCGAAGCAGAGAAAGAUGUGGAGGACUUUGUUACGUUUGGGAAGAUGAACUCGAUCGCAGGUGAUUCGAAAGAUUUACUGGCAUGAUCCGGAGAAGAGGAUGAGAGGAUAAGCUUGGGAAAGAUGAACGCGAAAUGAAUAUUUGAUUUUCUUCAGCUGGGAAUAGGUUCAUUUGGCUGGGAGAUUGGUUGGAUUUGUGAACGAGAUGUGAGGAGUGGUUAUAGGAUGGACUCGGAACGGGGGAGAGGACGCGUGAACUUGGGAUGGGCUGAGAAAGGAAUUUGGGAAGUUUGGACACGUGCAAAGACUUGUUUUUGAUGGGUGAAUGUGUGAAGAAAAGGGAAGAAAUUGAUGAAAUGCAGUGUGGGUUUAAGCAUCAUUCAAUUGGGUUUGACUCGACCUGCAUACAUAAGGCUUUAAUCAAUAAAUAAUCAAAUCAAACUCCAAUUUAUUAGAAUGCAAUGAUGAAGGGAAACACAUUUUCUCAUAUGUAGAUUUAAAAUAUGUGCAUAAAAAUAGUGAUAAGUGCUACGUAAAGUAAAUUAAUUUAUACAUUAUUUAGCACUUAUCAC
rnacentral:lncRNA from 1 species